UAUCUCAGGUGGUUUUGGUGUAUCUCAGGUGGGUUUGGUGUAUCUCAGGUGAAUUUUGGUGUAUCUCAGGUGGGUUUGGUGUCUCUCAGGUGGGUUUGGUGUCUCUCAGGUGGGUUUUGGUGUCUCUCAGGUGAAUUUUGGUGUCUCUCAGGUGGUUUUGGUCUAUCUCAGGUGGGUUUUGGUGUAUCUCAGGUGUAUCU
rnacentral:lncRNA from 1 species